AGUGAAAUUAACCUAUGUCAUAAAGUAAUUUACCUACACAUAACUUAACCAGAGGAAUUGACUUGUGCGGUUGGCAGGUGAAAGAGGCCAAGGUUUGAAAAGCCAAGAAGAGAAGAGUGAACUGGAUAAGGCAAGACUAAAAGUUCAAAUCAAGAUUAAGUAACUGCAUCUUUUGCAGAAACAUUUGUUGCUGUGGCUACUUGCAAGGGAGCAGGGUGGGCUUGAUGGCUUAGGAAGGAAAAGGAGGCAGAAGAUAAACUGAUGGAACAAAUGGAAACUUUAAUAGGAUUCCUUUUUACUCUCCAAAAGAUGAAAUAGUAACUACUUGUAUAAGCAGGAAGAGUGACUGGGUAGGUGAGCUGAUGGCCAAGUCCAGUUUGUUUCUGCAGCAAGAUCUCAAAAAAUGACCUCUGAAACUAUUCUGAAUGUCAUUAUAAGAACAUUAAAGAAGAGUGAUGGAAGAGAACCACUGAGUUAAACCAAUUGCUAUGUAAGAGUACAACACAGAAUUUCUAGAGAAAUGGUAGUAAACUGAUAACAUGGCUGAUCUUGGACAUGGGAUCACUUCUACUAUU